GGGCCCGCACAAGCAGUGGAGCAUGUGGUUUAAUUCGAUGCAACGCGAAGAACCUUACCAGGCCUUGACAUCCUCGGAACUUUCUAGAGAUAGAUUGGUGCCUUCGGGAACCGAGUGACAGGUGCUGCAUGGCUGUCGUCAGCUCGUGUCGUGAGAUGUUGGGUUAAGUCCCGCAACGAGCGCAACCCACGUCUUUAGUUGCCAGCAUUUAGUUGGGCACUCUAGAGAGACCGCCGGUGAUAAACCGGAGGAAGGUGUGGAUGACGUCAAGUCAUCAUGCCCCUUACAUCCUGGGCUACACACGUACUACAAUGGGGAAUACAGACGGACGCUAAGCCGCGAGGUGGUGCUAAUCCUAGAAAGUUUCUCGUAGUCCGGAUUGGAGUCUGCAACUCGACUCCAUGAAGUCGGAAUC
rnacentral:rRNA from 1 species